GUCCAGGGGCGGGAAUCGAACCCAAAACCUUCCGCUUACCGGGCAGAUGCCAUGUCCACUAGGCUACCCUGGA
rnacentral:tRNA from 1 species